GCAAAGCAUCCAAAGACACCAUACCCACAGAUUCCUCAAUCAAAACCCACCACACCCACCAUACGGCCAUACCCACAAACCAAUAGAGAUCUCCUUCCUCAGACCCACGGCAAAGACCACUUCUCCUUCCUCCAAAAUGCAUGCCCAUCAACAAAUCACCACAUGCAACCUCAAUUGUGUUGGUCGGCGAUACACCAUCACACCCAGCCCAGCCCAGUCGGCGAUACACCAUCACACCCAACCCAGCCCGUCGAAACUGGUCCACAAAGUCUUUUCCUCCAUUCAAAUCAAGGUCAAAGUGUGGUGUAGUGGAUGAUAGAGAUGGAUUAUAAGAGUACCAUUUAGAGCAGAAAAGGUAAUUAAAGAAGUUGAUGAGGCUGAGUGCGGCUAACAACCAAUAAAAAAGAUCAAGCCUAUCCUUGUUGAGGUCAUUGUCACUAAGCCAUCCACCAGAAGAACUUGAGGUAAUUUUGUGCACUAGGGAAAUUAGCAAAAUGUAAGGGAUGGAUUGAAGAGAAGCUGGAGGGAUGUGGAAGCUUGUUGUGAUCCGGGUGUUCAUUGCCCUCCCUUGGGCAACUGUGCAAAGUCUCCAUGAACUUUCACUUGCAUCUUGAAUUUUAAUGCAGGCCUUGUCAUGGAAUUUGCAACAUCAUGACUAUCUUAGAGAAUAUAUAUUUACACAUUAAUAAGAACAAGACUUAAAUGAUGUCUUCUUGUUAGUUCUCUUUGUUUACCAGUUGGUCUCUA